rnacentral:rRNA from 1 species
UUUGAGAGGAGCUGUCCUUAGUACGAGAGACCGGGAUGGACAUACUCUGGUCGUACAGUGUCGUGCCAACGGCAUAGCUGGGUAGCUAUGUAUGGACGGGAUAAGUGCUGAAAGCAUCUAAGCAUGAAGCCCCCCUCAAGAUGAGAUUUCCCAACUUCGGUUAUAAGAUCCCUCGAAGAUGACGAGGUUAAUAGGUUCGAGGUGGAAGCGUGGUGACACGUGGAGCUGACGAAUACUAAUCGAUCGAAGACUUAAUCAA